rnacentral:lncRNA from 1 species
GUGAGAGAGGGAGCAGUGAGACUUCGGGUCUCUUGGGCUGACACCAUAUUUCUACCUCCUGCCUCAUUCAGCUUACAAAAGCAAGUCAUAAAGCCAGCCUGGGGUAGAAACUUGCUGGACAAGGGAGCUGCAAGGUCACACUGCAGAGUAUGAAUUGGGAGUUGGAUUUGGCUCUGAGAGCAUCAGACUGGACCUUCCUGGGCCUUAGGCUUCUGCACCGAGUCUUCCUCUCUUCAGAUCCCAGCUUGCAGAGAGGCCAGCUCGAUGUCUCUGGUUUUGCCUAUUUCCUCACCAGGUUGGCCCUCAACUGAAGGCCGAGGAACCGCGGAGGUCAGCAGCAAAGGAGCAGCACCAGGAACGUAGAGGGUCCUCGCCAACCAACAGGGCGCAGGUGCCAGCGGAUGUAACCCAGACAGCAGAAAGAAGUAUGGGCCAAAGCAGUCAAGCAAUCACAUGGCAAAUCUACAUAGGCUUGUUCUUUUCAUGUAAUCAGGAAAAUUAUGCAAUUAAUGCUUGAAAGUGAAUCUGAAGGAAAUUAGAGCAGGCAAACAGUCCCUUCAUGCUAACUUUCCUGACAAUAGCUCUAUGGCCCAUGUUUUCUUUUCCUUCCCUGUGAAGUUCCCCAACUUGCUUCAGAAUGGAGACCUUCAAGUACCCUGCAGAAGCUUUCUAGAAAACGGAAUUCGUUUGAAGUUUAUCUAGCUCCCUCCAGUCUGUUGACCUCCUGGAGGUCUCGUGACCGUCCACUGGAGCCUGGGUAUAGGAAGAGUGGAGAAGGGGUGUGGAGAACAACCACGGGGGAGGAAGUGUGAACUCCACAUGUAGCUUUGAAGAGUUGGUUCCUCUGGGGACAAAGAUGCCUGUGGCUGCCAUCCACACAGAAGAUUGCAGGGCACCAGGGUCAAGAAAAGCACCUGCCAUGCUUUGAGGGCUAGAAUGGCUUCCUGUUCUUCAUGCUACUCCUCUGGCUCGGCUUUCGGUUUUUAAUGACUCCCAUCACGAGACCAUUGUCAUCUCAGCUUCCUGUGAUAGCCCAAGAAUGCAUGAAAUUACCAUCUCCAACAAGAGCACAAAGCAAGCAGCCAUGCUUCACGGGCAUUAUCGCUUUAUUAAUCGCCAUUACGCCCUUCCAUCCCAGCGGCCCUUCCAGUUAGACAGGGAUGUGGUUUCAAACAAUCAUGCUGCUCUUGUAUUUUCACCAGGAUCUGUAUUAAAAGCUCUGACAGAUUGCUAAUGAGCUGAUGUUGGAAUUACAGAAUAGUCUGUUAGCCUGUGUCCGUUCACAGUUUCCUCACCAGACAGCCCAUCUGUCCUCGGAACACAGCCACCACGGAACAUGCAGGCUGGGACAGUUUCUCCAUUUACACCUUUGCCUUCAGAGGCUGCUG